CUGACAUUGGGUUGCUAGAGUGCAAUUCCACACGUACAGGUAUUUUUAAUUUAUGUAUUUCAAUUUGAAUAAUCUACUUUGUGUGUUGUUGUUUUUGCAUUUGUUUUGGUAUGAAGUCAUCAUUUUACCUAUUAUCAACAAAUAGGAAUUGGAUCUCUAACAUUGGGCACACAAUUGUCAAAUGUCAAUCAGAGAUUGGGUAUCAGACGUGGUGAAUUGAGAAAUUGAGGAGAUAUAUUUUCUUGGUUUCUAACUUUCUGGGUUUCGGGGUUUCAUACUAUCUGGGAAAUGCUUACCUAAACUAAUACUAAUGUAGAGAUAGUGCAUUUCAUACUAUCAGAUGUAGGCAUGUCCUUACCUAUUCUAGAGAUAUAUUAAUUGGUUUAUUUGGUACAUGCGUAAAAUAUAGAUAUAGAUUAUGUCAUGGGAUAUAUAGAUUCUGUCAUGGGAUAUAUAGGUUCUGUCAAAGAUAUAUUGGUUGUACCAAAUCAAUAUUCCAUGAUUCAAUUGUAACAAUCUGCUUUUGGUGGUGUUGUUUUUGCAUUUAGUUUGCUAUGAAAUCAUCAUUGUACCUAUUGUCGACAAUAUUCUGAGAAAGUCUGAUGGCAAGUUGAGAAAUUGAAGAGACAUAUUUUUUACAUGCAGAUUGUGAUAUGAAUUUUUCUUUGUUCCUUGUAGCAUCCUCAUGGCUACGAAAGGGUUUGCAAACCUAUAGUACAGGUCAGACGUGUUGAAGUUUCAUCGUGUAAUGGAGCGAAUAAGAGUAAAUGUGAGUGUAAGCAAAUGGCAAUCAACCAAAGGCUACAACAAUCAUCAUCGUUGGAGUAUAUAGUGAAGCAAAUGGCAAUCAACCAAUCCAAUUUCCAGCAAACAACACAAGCUGCCAUCUCCAAGUUGGAAGUCCAAUUGGGCCAGAUAGCUACUGAAAUAGCUCAAAGAGAACCCGGG
rnacentral:lncRNA from 1 species